UUGAACAGAGGAAGACACAGUAGUGCCAAAUCUUCAGACCUUUCUUCUUUGGCUAUGUUAUCAGGUGAAUCUGGUAUAAGGGCCUUGGUGCUUGUGGAAACUGUACGUGUGCUUGUCCAUUGAUAUCACACGACACCCAUCAACGCAACCAACAAACCCUAUCACGCCUUUGAUUUUGGGGAAUUGCAAACAUUGUGACAACGGAACCAAGAAAUGCAACAUCCAAACCCUAUCGCGCCUUCGAUUUUUGGGAAUUACAGAUACUAUGACAACGAAACCAAGAAAGAAAA
rnacentral:lncRNA from 1 species